AGUGAACGCUGGCGGUAGGCCUAACACAUGCAAGUCGAACGGCAGCACAGUAAGAGCUUGCUCUUACGGGUGGCGAGUGGCGGACGGGUGAGGAAUACAUCGGAAUCUACUUUUUCGUGGGGGAUAACGUAGGGAAACUUACGCUAAUACCGCAUACGACCUACGGGUGAAAGCAGGGGAUCUUCGGACCUUGCGCGAUUGAAUGAGCCGAUGUCGGAUUAGCUAGUUGGCGGGGUAAAGGCCCACCAAGGCGACGAUCCGUAGCUGGUCUGAGAGGAUGAUCAGCCACACUGGAACUGAGACACGGUCCAGACUCCUACGGGAGGCAGCAGUGGGGAAUAUUGGACAAUGGGCGCAAGCCUGUUCCAGCCAUACCGCGUGGGUGAAGAAGGCCUUCGGGUUGUAAAGCCCUUUUGUUGGGAAAGAAAAGCAGCAGGUUAAUACCCCGCUGUUCUGACGGUACCCAAAGAAUAAGCACCGGCUAACUUCGU
rnacentral:rRNA from 1 species